rnacentral:misc_RNA from 1 species
AAGUCGUAACAAGGUAUCCGUAGGUGAACCUGCGGAUGGAUCAUUACCAAUUUUAUAUUACUAGUGUGUGUGUCUCCGUCAAAAGAGGUCACACAACUACUAUUGUAAACGUUGAACUAGAUCGUUGGUGUGGAUUGCUUGGGAAUGGACGAAGCGACAAGCCUCUUCCGGACAGGCAAGCCCCACACCGAUAACCUUUUCAUACAAUUUACCAAUACAUACUACAAACAAACAAACAAACAAACAAAAGCUAUAAUAGGACUUAUAUAUUAUACGAGUUGAGUGGGUAAAAGCCUCGGCUCUAAAAAAAAAAUUAAUAACUAUUACAACUUUCAGCAAUGGAUCUCUAGGCUCUC